GGCUGCAGUGAUGCAAAGGGGAGAGAUUUGUUCCCUGGGGCUCCAGAAGAAAGUAUGACAACCAAGGAGUGGCAGAUACAGGGAGAGAGAUUUCGGUGAGAUAAAAAAGCGGAACUUUUAAAGGCAGUUUUCCUUUAAUAUGAGUCGUUCAAAUAUCACCACUUUCAUUUUUCUUCUUUCUUCUGUCACGUUUGUGAGAAGCAGUGUAACUCGGCGAUUAGGAACACAAACUGGGACAGAAACGCUUGGGUUCACUUUCCAGUCCUGUCACUUACUAGCUACAUAACUUUGGGCAAGUUACCUUACUUUCCCAUGCCUGUUUUCUCGCUAAUAAUAGUACCUACCUCAAAUAGUACUUAACCCAUGUGACUGUGGUGAAGAUUGAUUAAAUUAUACAUGCAAAGGGCUUAGGAUAGCGCCCAGCACACAGUAUGCGCUCAGCAAGUGGUAGCAACUAUUAUUUUUUAUUAUAAUCUCAUACCACUUAUACUAUUUAUUUAUUUAUUUUUUUUUUGCGGUACGCGGGCCUCUCACUGUUGUGGCCUCUCGCGUUGCGGAGCACAGGCUCCAGCACUUAUACUAUUUUUAAGUAGACACAUUACUUAUCUAAAUUUAUUUGAAAGGAAACUUUAUAUUACUACUGUAAAGGCAAAGCCAGAAACACUUGCCAUGUAUAGAUGGAAACUGUACAAAUAAACAUGAAACAAUGUUAUUAAAUCUUAGCUAGCUACUGUUGCCUGUUCCAUCCCCUGAAUUUAAGGACUGCUGCCUUUUCCGUAAGAAGGGAGACGAGCAAGUGUUACAGAAACGGUCUGGUACUUCACUGAAACCUCUUUUGUUGACUGUAGUCAGAAGGCAGAGUCUGGCAAGGUUAAGGAAGUGAAAGGCCAGUGUGGUUGCAGCUCCUGCUCUAGGCAGAGAGGCAGGGCCGGAUCAAAGGGACGGUUUAGAAAGGAAAUACCUCUCCAAGAAUGAGGCUUCGUCAUCUUUAGCACUACAGUGCUCUGCCACAUCGAAUCAUCCCACCAGGCACCCAGUGGUAUGAUCAGCACACUUCAAAAACCAGUCAGACACAUUUCAUAGACCACCGCGCUCCCCAGUGCCCCCCGGAGGAAACCUGCAGACAGUUUCCGGACACACCCCCUGCCUCUCACUUCUUUCUACUCGAAGACAUUUUCUGGCGGCAGGCUGCGUACUCCCGACCGCACGCAGAAGUUGGGGGUCUGCUGGGACGCACAGUGUCUCCGAGCAGCCCCAGAGAGACUGAGCCGUUUGCCCCAAGGACUGGCUGUUCGGGGAUUCGGGCAGGCUCUCCAGAGGAACCAGCUAGUGGAGGAUGUUUGCGUGCGAGCGACCUGGCGUCCAGCUCUGCCCCUAGGCCCAGCUUGACGACUGCGGGUCUCCAGGUCCCCACAGGCAACGACACGUGCGGCCGCUCCGACCUGUCUGGUCGUCCGCGGAGACCGCCGGCAGGGCUCGGCGGCCGCCACGCUGCCCACGCCUCAGCACAGAGGUUCGCGGGAAACGCCCGGGGCUCAGGA